ACGGAAUUCUUGUUACUCAGCCACACAUCUCACAUAUUAUAACAAAAAAGAAAAAUAGAACUUCAAUGAAAAUAAAUUAUUAGAACUUCAAUGAAAAUAAAUUAUGGAAUAUCUUAAAUCAACUGUGCUUACUAAUGGUUUAAACUUAUCCAGAGUUUUCCAAAUCACUGUGUUUUAUGUAACAGUAAUAAUCAAAUAGUUUUAACGAUAUGUUUAGAAGCACUUUAGUAUAUUUGAUACACAUUUUGAUACACAUUUUCAGGUCCCAGAAUUAUGGGCCAGAAACGCUUAUCCUUCGUUAAAGUCUUUAGCAUCUUGGGUUAAAGACCUGAUAAUGAGGUGUUGUUUUAUUGACAAUUGGAUCAAUAAUGGACCUCCUAAGUCUUUUUGGUUGUCUGGCUUCUUCUUUCCACAAGUUUCUUGACUGGAACUCUUCAAAAUUUUGCUAGAAAGUACAACCAGCCUAUUGAUCAUCUCUCAUUCAAGUUCAUUCUCCUGCCAUAUUCUAGAGAAGAAGCACUAGUUAUGGAGCAGCUGCGUACAGUUAAAAAGGGCGAAACAAUACCUAUGGAUCAAAAUGUAAACUCUUAGUUAAAAUCAAAUUAUUUCUCUAAUAAAUCAAUAUUUAUUUUUAAAACAAUGGUUAAAUCAGUUUACGAAAUCAAAAUAUAGAACUUCAAAAUUAAAAACACUAACAAAUGAUCAGACUUGAUAUGGAAAUAUAGGAAGUAUAAAAAGAAUUUCACUUCAUUCAAUGAAAUUAUUUCCCACAGGGGUGCCACCCAUGAGACCAAGUAAACCCUGAAACCCGAAUUUCCAAAUUUUACAAACCCUGAAAUCAUAAACCCCAAACUUUACCAACCCUGAAACGUACCGCGUAUACAAUUUAAGCACCAAAAUUUUACGAAAGAAGAACAGUAUUAAAUUACUACCUAGAUCUAGAUCUAUAUCAUAAUAUGCUCCCCAUGUUUGAAAUAUGUAAUUAGUAAGCCUAUCAUUAUAAUAAAUAGAGUUUGUGUGUAUUUAUUGAUAAAGUUUGUAAUACAAGUUAAGAGGAUUUAGUACAAUUUUAUAUUAACAAUGUUUGUACACCCCCCCCCCCCCCCCAAACACACAGUUAUUUUAAAUGAUGUUUCUCUCUUUUAACAUUUUUCCCCUCAUUAUUCAUUUGAAGCAGCCUACUUUAAUCAACAUUGAUAAAACUGAUUCGAUCAAUGUACAUGCAUGGACCUGUAAAUCUAUUGCAACAAGAUAAAAUUGAUUUUGAGAUUUAGUCCAGAUCUACUCCAAAAUGAACAUUUAGAUUUAGUUUCUAAUAUUUAAAUGUAGACCUAGAUGGCUAGAAUGUGCUGGACUGCUUAUACAUAAUUAUAAUUUAUUUGUAUAAAUCUAUUGACCAAUCGAUCUAUUUUUUCUAGCCUCUAAGUCUUCAGGCGAACGCAAACUUACUAAUUUAAUUCUUCAAUCAUUGAUUCUAGUUCUGAUCUAAAAAAUAUGUAAAUAUCCUAAAUCUAGAUCCUACUUCUAGAAUACUCUAGACCAAUAUAUAUAGCUCUAGACUAGUCUAGACAUAGGCUAAGGCUCUAUGUCUAUAUGGAACAUAUACAAAUAUUAAAAUAUAAAACACAGAAAGAAAAAAAAAAAAAUUCUCACUCGUGAAUUUUUUUUUCUUUCUAUUUCUAGAUCUAGGACUAGCCGCUAGGUACGCGAGUAGAUCUAGACUAUAUCUAUACUAAUUACAAGACUUUACAGUCUAGAUCAGAUCUAGAUUGAUCAUAGAAAUAGAUCUGACUCCAAAUCGAGCCGAUUUGAGGCGCGUUCCGUAGAUCUAAAAAUUCUCUAUAGA